GCUUAAGUCCAAUGUCUCUGAUGCAGUGGCUCAGUGCACCCGCAUCAUUUAUGGAGGUUCUGUGACUGGGGCAAACUGCAAGGAGCUGGCAUGCCAGCCUGACGUGGAUGGCUUCCUCGUGGGUGGUGCAUCCCUCAAGCCUGAAUUCGUGGACAUCAUCAACGCCAAACAAUAAGCCCCAAAUCCAUCUCCCUGCCCUUCCUGCUAUGCCAAGGACUGUGAAGCUCAGAAGCCCAGUAACUGCUCCUCCCUCUCCCCACCCCCACACAUGCUUCUGAGGGUAUCACCUGCCCCUUCUUGUGGCCUAAUCCAAACUGCACCUCUCCUUUACCAUGUACACCUAUAAUGGUGGGGACAACCCCUUCUCCACUUACUCUAAUAAUUGCAACAAAACAUGUCACCAAGAUGGCCUCUCCUUGACUGAGAGGUAGAAAGGUGGGGUUUGUCCCCACUGAAGGCAGGAAAGAGAAGCCGUCCUCCUCUCCCAUCUCGUACUUGAGGCCACAGGCUGGGAAAGAGCCCUGUCCUCCCUGGUGCCAACGCCUGUGUGUUGUGUAUGUGAGCAGUCCCACUUGGGGGUGGGAAUAAACAUCUGGCAUUAAAAAAAAAAAAAAAAAAA